rnacentral:rRNA from 1 species
GACGAACGCUGGCGGCGUGCUUAACACAUGCAAGUCGAACGGUGAAAGGGAGCUUGCUCCCUGGAUCAGUGGCGAACGGGUGAGUAACACGUGGGCAACCUGCCCCAGACUUCGGGAUAACGCUUCGAAAGAGGUGCUAAUACCGGAUAAGAGCUCUCCAGGCAUCUGGAGGGUUGGCAAGUUUUUAGGUCUGGGAUGGGCCCGCGGCCAAUCAGCUUGUUGGUGAGGGAACGGCUCACCAAGGCGACGACGGAUAGCCGGCCUGAGAGGGCGACCGGCCACACUGGGACUGAGACACGGCCCAGACUCCUACGGGAGGCAGCAGUGGGGAAUAUUGCACAAUGGGCGCAAGCCUGAUGCAGCGACGCCGCGUGAGGGAUGACGGCCUUCGGGUUGUAAACCUCUUUCAGCACCGACAAAGCGCAAGUGACGGUAGGUGCAGAAGAAGGACCGGCCAACUACGUGCCAGCCGCCGCGGUAA